rnacentral:rRNA from 1 species
CCUACGGGAGGCAGCAGUGAGGAAUAUUGGUCAAUGGACGGAAGUCUGAACCAGCCAUGCCGCGUGCAGGAAGACGGCUCUAUGAGUUGUAAACUGCUUUUGUACAAGGGUAAACCUGAAUACGUGUAUUCAGCUGAAAGUACUGUACGAAUAAGGAUCGGCUAACUCCGUGUCAGCCGCCGCGGUAAUACGGAGGAUCCAAGCGUUAUCCGGCUUUAUUGGGUUUAAGGGGUGCGUAGGCGGAUUGAUAAGUUAAAGGGGAAAUGUCCGAGCUUAACUCGGGAACUGCCUCGAAUACUGUUGAUCUAGAGAGUAGAUGCGGUAGGCGGAAUGUAUGGUGUAGCGGUGAAAUGCUGAGAGAUCAUACAGAACACCGAUUGCGAAGGCAGCUUACCAAUCUAUAUCUGACGUUGAGGCACGAAAGCGUGGGGAGCAAACAGGAUUAGAUACCCCAGUAGUC